rnacentral:rRNA from 1 species
GUCCACGCCGUAAACUAUGGAUACUAGGUGUUUGGAGAAUUAACCCUCUGAGUACUACAGCUAACGCGUUAAGUAUCCCGCCUGGGGAGUACAGUCGCAAGGCCGAAACUCAAAGAAAUUGACGGGGGCCCGCACAAGCGGUGGAGUAUGUGGUUUAAUUCGAAGCAACGCGCAGAACCUUACCUACCCUUAACAUCCCGUGCUACCACCAGAGAUGGUGGGUUCUCUUCGGAGACGCGGAGAUAGGUGCUGCAUGGCUGUCGU